CAGUAACCAACUUUGACAUGAGUCGUUACGACGUAAAAAGCAUUGCCAACAGCAACCUUCCCAUCGGAGGAAUCACCGGCAAGUCCAAGAACUCAUCUGAAUCAGUUUCCGAUUGUAAGAGCCUGGAUGGAGGAAGCCGGUCGGACGAUCGGGAUAUAUCAUCUGCAUCAUCUCAUCUGGCUGCCUUUGCAUCAUCUCAUCCUGCUACCUCAACACUAAGCUUUGCAUUACCCAUCAAACAAGACCCAUCGGCAGAUUACUGGUCUAACCUCCUUGGAUACCAAAAUAACACUACUGCCACUCCUCUAACCAAUGCCAAGUGCCUAAGCAUAGCACCAACUUAUCUUCAGAGUCCCACAUCGUCACCAUCUUUCAACGUGGACUUCGCUGCAAAUCCAUCAUCAGCAGUCAAUGAAAGCAGUAAUAAUGGGUUAUUCAAUGUUGG
rnacentral:lncRNA from 1 species